AAGUCGUAACAAGGUUUCCGUAGGUGAACCUGCGGAAGGAUCAUUAUCGAAUUAUAAGCGAAGGUUGUCGCUGGCCCCUCGGGGCAUGUGCACGCCGGAGCUCUUAAUCCACACACACCUGUGAACUCAAUGUGGGGACGUCCCUCGGGACGAUUCCCAUGUCUUUCAUAUACCCUUAUGUAUGUCUCAGAAUGUCUUAUUGUUGCUUUAACGCAAUGGAAUACAACUUUCAACAACGGAUCUCUUGGCUCUC
rnacentral:misc_RNA from 1 species